rnacentral:rRNA from 1 species
UACGGGGGGGGCAAGCGUUGUUCGGAAUUACUGGGCGUAAAGGGCUGGUAGGCGGCCAACUAAGUCGGAUGUGAAAUCCCCAGGCUUAACCUGGGAACUGCAUCCGAUACUGUCGGCUUGAAUCCGGGAGAGGGAUGCAGAAUUCCAGGUGUAGCGGUGAAAUGCGUAGAUAUCUGGAGGAAUACCGGUGGCGAAGGCGGCAUCCUGGACCGGCAUUGACGCUGAACAGCGAAAGCUAGGGGAGCAAACGGG